UGGGGAAUAUUGGACAAUGGGCGCAAGCCUGAUCCAGCAAUGCCGCGUGAGUGAUGAAGGCCUUAGGGUUGUAAAGCUCUUUCGCCCGCGACGAUGAUGACGGUAGCGGGAGAAGAAGCCCCGGCUAACUUCGUGCCAGCAGCCGCGGUAAUACGAAGGGGGCGAGCGUUGUUCGGAUUUACUGGGCGUAAAGGGCGCGUAGGCGGCGGACCGAGUCGAGUGUGAAAGCCCCGGGCUCAACCUGGGAGGUGCGCUCGAGACUGGCCCGGUGGAGUUCGGGAGAGGAGCGUGGAAUUCCCAGUGUAGAGGUGAAAUUCGUAGAUAUUGGGAAGAACACCGGUGGCGAAGGCGGCGCUCUGGACCGAGACUGACGCUGAGGCGCGAAAGCGUGGGGAGCAAACAGGAUUAGAUACCCUGGUAGUCCACGCUGUAAACGAUGUGUGCUAGACGUUGGGGAGCGCAGCUCUUCGGUGUCGCAGCAAACGCUUUAAGCACACCGCCUGGGGAGUACGGCCGCAAG
rnacentral:rRNA from 1 species